AUUGAACGCUGGCGGCAGGCCUAACACAUGCAAGUCGAGCGGUUGACGGGAGCUUGCUCCCUGAUUCAGCGGCGGACGGGUGAGUAAUGCCUAGGAAGCUACCCGAUAGAGGGGGAUACCAGUUGGAAACGACUGUUAAUACCGCAUAAUGUCGACGGACCAAAGUGUGGGCCCUUCGGGACACAUGCUAUCGGAUGCGCCGACGGGGGAUUAGCUAGUUGGUGAGAUAAUUGCUCACCAAGGCGACGAUCGCUAGCUGGUUUGAGAGGAUGGUCAGCCACACUGGAACUGAGACACGGUCCAGACUCCUACGGGAGGCAGCAGUGGGGAAUAUUGGACAAUGGGCGCAAGCCUGAUCCAGCCAUGCCGCGUGUGUGAAGAAGGCCUUCGGGUUGUAAAGCACUUUCAGUAGGGAGGAAGGGUUAAGUGUUAAUAGUACUUAACUUUGACGUUACCUACAGAAGAAGCACCGGCUAACUCUGUGCCAGCAGCCGCCGUAA
rnacentral:rRNA from 1 species